UACGUAGGGUGCGAGCGUUGUCCGGAAUUACUGGGCGUAAAGAGCUCGUAGGUGGUUUGUCGCGUUGUUCGUGAAAACUCACAACUCAAUUGUGGGCGUGCGGGCGAUACGGGCAGACUGGAGUACUGCAGGGGAGACUGGAAUUCCUGGUGUAGCGGUGGAAUGCGCAGAUAUCAGGAGGAACACCGGUGGCGAAGGCGGGUCUCUGGGCAGUAACUGACGCUGGGGAGCGAAAGCGUGGGGAGCGAACAGG
rnacentral:rRNA from 1 species